GGAGAAGUGACCGAGUGGUCGAAGGUGCACGACUGGAAAUCGUGUGUACGUCAAAAGCGUACCGUGGGUUCGAAUCCCACCUUCUCCGCCA
rnacentral:tRNA from 1 species